ensembl:lncRNA
AAACCAUUGAGGGCUGGGGAACGUCUAAUUUGCAGGGAUUUCUAUUGUCCCCCAUUGCUCAACCGAGACACACCCCUCUGCCUUCACUCCUCCCUUCGCUGUAAUCUCUGCCACUUCCUUCACCUCCUCCGUCAGACACUGCUCCAUUCGUGUUGACUGCCCAGAGUCCACGGAUUUGAUCUGUGGAAAAUAACCUCCACCUCCAGGCACCCGUGAGCAUGACCUCCUUCAAACGUUCCUUUGCCUCAUGAGUUUGUUAAAUGUUGUUGUCAAAGUCCAUGGUUUUGCUAUUGUUCCAGAGCUCCGUGCUGUUAUCCAUGUCGUAACUUGAUUACGCGGCCCAAGCCCUGAACCAGGUGGCCUGAGAACAGAAGCCUUCAUUGUUUAAAUGGGAACGCGCGUGAACUGGAGAGAACGGCGUAGAACAGCCGUAGGACCUACGUCUUGCAUGAUAUGAAAAAAAUAUGCAUUGAUGGAAUUUUAUCUGAAUUGUUGAUAUUUCACCAUGCGGUCGCUACAUGGUCAGGUGAUUGCAAUUGUAGACAGGAUGUAUCCAGAGAACAAGGCAUGUCCCAUGUCCACUAGCCAGGAUGUGUUUCCCUUAGAAGCAAGGAAGUUCAUUCGACGCUCAGCUGUGGGGCGAAAAUCAUGGCAUGUUUGCAUAGUAGAAAGACCAAUGUUAAUGAAGCCAAUAUUGACCAAAGGAGGUCUUAUAUCUAAACCUGUAACGACUGACCGGUUCAUAGCAUACAGAUGCUUUGUCUAGUGGUGCUGGGGAUAUGGGCGGAGUUCCCUUUCAAUUCUAUUAUGUUCUAUAUGUGAGCAGAGUGACCAGAAAGGUGAAAACACGGGAACUCAGAACGCUGGGGCUGUAGAGCGACGUCGGGUGUCUGUCUUAAUUUAAACUACAUCGUGACUCAAGCCUGUGACAGGCGUUGGCCGCAGCUGGGGGAUCGGAGACGUUUGCUGCAGCCGGGGAAUCAGAGCGAUCGGCGGGCGUGCAGCGGGGAUAAGGGGGAACGGCAGACACGCACCGACCCUUGACUCCAGCUCCAGCGUGUGGCCACUGUUUUCUUCUCUCCCUCUCUAUAGUUUGUGUGCGCGUGCGCAUACCGGCGAGUGGGAAUGUGUUGGUGCGCGUGAGUGACUGUGGCCGCAUACCGGCGGGU